rnacentral:lncRNA from 1 species
AGCCGGGACAGCCAUUUUCACCCACCCUCCCACACAGGUGCACCUGGUCCUCAGGCCUCCGGACUCAGACUGAAUGAAUUACAUCAGCUGCUUUCCUGGUUCCCCAGCUUGCAGAUGGCAGGUCAUGGCUUCUCAGCUCCCACAACGGGGUGAGCCAAAUUUCUGCAAUAACAGAAUUUGGCUUCAAAUCCAUCCAUCCAUCCAUCCAUCCAUCCGUGUAUGUCCCAUUGGUUCUGUUUCUCUGGAGAACCCUCGUACAUCUCCCUUUGUGUCCAUCUUUUCCCCUAAAACGUCAGCUGCCCAAGGGCAGGGAUGGUCUGGCUUGCUCACUGCUGGUUCCCUGGGGUCUAGCAUGGAGUCUGGCAAACAGAAGAUGCUCAAUAUUUGCUGCAUGAGCCCCCACUGAAUCCACACAAAAAUCUAUUGAUGUGAUGACAAUAUCACUUCAAAAUGAAGAUAAGAAGGGUACAAGUAAUUAAGAAAAUUACCCAAAGGCCGCACAGAGCUAAAUGGUAAAACUCAGAAAUGACCCUGGGACUUUUGGAUGCCGAGCUCACACUCUUACUGAAUUGGGAAAUCCCGCAUCCGCAGUGGGGCUCCACCCUGCAGCCCAGAAGCUGCCACUGAGGCUGGCCUCCUUGAAAUCCACCAAGGCUGUACGUUGGGGGUAAAAUUCCCAGGGGACCUUCUCUGUGCCUUCAAAGCCUGGAGAAGUCAGAUCUGAAGGAGCUUAUGGGGCAGCAUGGGAGGCAGGCAUCCAAGGAAAUGGAUGAUGGGCAGGAUGACAGAAGAGCUGCAUUAGGGGACUAAAUAAGUCAUGUGAUCAGGGAAGGCAGAGGAAAGGGCUGUGGAUUCUGCCUGGGGCAGAGUGGGAGCACGGCGAGGCUCAAUGCAGCAAUCUGAGCUGAGUCUAAAAGGAUGGGCAGCAUUUUAACAGGUGCAGGGGAGGGGAGGCACCCCGGUAGAGGGAAGAGCUUGAGCAGAGAGAUCUGGACGUGUGAAUGUCUGCUGGGAAUUAGACCAGCAAAGGAUUCCCCAGAAGCAGAGCAGCCUGGGGGUGGGGGUGCAGGUGGAGGGAAAUAAUAAUGGUAAUAAAAAUAACAGCAGUGGAGUUCCUGUCGUAGCACAGAGGAAACGAAUCUGACUAGGAACCAUGAGGUUUCGGGUUCGAUCCCUGGCCUUGCUCAAUGGGUUAAGGAUCUGGUGUUGCCAUGAGCUGUGGUAUAGGUCGCAGACAUGACUCAGAUUCUGUGUUGUUGUGGCUGUGGUGUAGGCUGGCAGCUGUAGCUCCAAUUUGACCCCUAGCCUGGGAACCUCCAUAAGCCACAGGUCUGCUGGAUUGGGGAUUCCAGGGGUGGGGUGCAGUCAGCUGUGUAGAACAACCCUCAAGGGGGGUGCUGCAGCCAGUUCAAAGGCUCUGCACUACCAUGAACUCUCUCACCAGGGAAGGGGAGGCAGCAGAGGCGGGCGGGGCAGAUCUCGGCCCAGAGGGCCCCUCCCUCUUCUGCAGGCAACUAGGAGCUGCGAAGGCUUCGGAGGCUGAAGGCUACCUCGACUAGGUUUCCCCAGCGAAUCUGCAGAAGGCUUUGUGAUAGACUAGCAUCCGUGGGACCCAAGAUAGACCAGGCAACAUAUAACCAGAGGACUGAGGUCCCCAAGGUCAGGACAGCCACAGCCCCUGCUGACAGCAAGCACCCUGUCCAUCUGCUGUGAGGUCAACGACCUCUGACCCCACAGACCCAACCCCCUCUGCAAUCCUCAGGACCCAAAGUCAUCACCUGGAAGGUGUUUGGGGACCAACCAGGAGGACUCCUAGGAGGAAGAGCUUGCCGAGAGUCCUCCAGCAGGUGGGAAGGUGACCUCAAACCUGGGUCUCCCGCCUUCCAGGAGGGGGUUUGCGCAUGAUACCCACAGAGGCCAGCCAGUGCACCCACCCACUCUUCCUGUUUGCACCAGCUAUCAGGGGGUGGUGGAUCCACAUCCCACUCUGUGCUCCAAACCGGUUUUCAUGAUCCUGAGCAAUUGCCCCAACUCUCAUGACCUCAGGGUCCCCAUCCGCAAAAGGAAGAGGCUGGACUCAAUUUCGAAUCUUGCUUCUCCCCUCCCCCAAACUUUCAGCCCUCAAAUACACACUAUUGGCCUACUGUGUGCUGGAGGGGGAGCCGUGGGCAGGUGGUGCCUUUCCUCAGAGCUCAUGGCCCUUUGGUGACCAAAAAAAAAAGGGGGGGGGCAAUAUUCUGCAGGGCCACAUACCCAUUCCUCGGAGCCAGGGUACCGAACCCCCCCCCCAGAUUAAAUCAAACCCAGCCCGCAUUGGCAUCAACUCAGGCUUCCUCUUUCUCCCCUGCGGCCCUGGGGCCAGCUGGGCGGAGCAAGGAGCCAUGGGCGGGGCUGGAUUCGGAGCCCUGGCUGGAGCGGGGCCUCCACUCCCCUCCUGUCCUCCCUGUCUCCACCCGGAAAGUGGCUCACACCAAGCCUCUCACGCCUCCAGUGGAGCUGCUUGGCCGAAUCCCCAGGCACUGCGAGGGUUCUGAUGGUUCUGAGGCAGGAUGUCACUCACGGCCAAAGGAAGUGGGACAGCCAGGUUCUAAAGAGCCCGAGGAAGAGCUGGGUGAGGGCGUGUGCAUGGGGGAGGGGAAGGGGAAGUAGUGCAGAUGGGGGAGGGAGAAAGCAGACAGACAGAAGGGACAAGCACUGAGAUGGGACACAGAACCAGAAAGAAUGAGAGAGAGAUGAGGGAAGACAAGAGUCAGGGGGAGGCAGAGUCAGGGCAGAAACAUCAACAAGCCCGGAAUGGGAAAGAGAGAGAGACAGGGAGCAACCAAAACAGAGACCAAGAAGACUCAGGGAGCAGGAGCGGACUGGAACAGGAACCUUGGCUCCUGGUUCCUGGCUCCUGGUCUCGACAACCUGGACCCACACAGGCACCAUCAGGGCUAAAGGAGUCAUUCCCCGCCCCACCCUUGGUCCAGUCUCCUGGGGCUUCAGAGAAAGAGCAGACCAUUAAGAGUAAGGCUGCUGCUGAUCUGGCCUCCUCGGAACC